rnacentral:misc_RNA from 1 species
AACUUUUAACAACGGAUCUCUUGGUUCUGGCAUCGAUGAAGAACGCAGCGAAAUGUGAUAAGUAAUGUGAAUCGCAGAAUUCAGUGAAUCAUCGAAUCUUUGAACGCACAUUGCACCCCCUGGCACUCAGGGGGUAUGCCUGUCCGAGCGUCGUCAAGACCCUCAAGCUCCCCGGAGCUUGGCGUUGGGUGCGGCCCCGUCACCGGGGCCCUCCCCAAAACCAGUGGCGGCCGUGGCCCGGACCCGAGCGCAGUAGACUUCUCUCGCUCCGGGGCCCGGGCGGCGUGCCCGCCAGCAAGACAUCAGCCAUACCUAAGGUUGACCUCGGAUCAGGUAGGAGCACCCGCUGAACUUAAGCAUAUCAUAAGCGGAGGCU